rnacentral:lncRNA from 1 species
GCUUCUCCCCUCUGUUCCAGCGCUGAGACGCAGGCCUUUCCUGGCGCGAAGCGACUCGCCCCGGAGCUCCCCUGCACCGUCCUGGGUGUCAGGACGCGUCAACCCAGAUGACCCGACCCGGAGAUCCUGGAUCCUCUGCCCUCUUCCCCCUACCAAGUCCUUAACCGGAGAGGGAGGAGCUACCAAUGUCCUCCAGACGUUCUCCAAAGCCCGAGCUGCCGGGAGAAGCUUGCUCAAGGCGGGUGCGCCCCUCAGACGUUUGUUUGCACGCAGGGGUUUUGACGUUUCGCUAAGCAACAGCGUUUGCCAGGGAAUCAGGGCUGUUUCGAAGAGCUUGCGUCUAUUUGAUGCUCCCAUCUUGAACAAAUCGUUUCCAUUCGAUUUGUUUAACCAAGGCGAGGGCGGACUAUGUUGUUACUUAAAAGUUAUUCUUCAUCCAAGCUGUCCUCAGAUUUUCAUCUAAGGGUGUCAUAACACCCCAGGUCGUUGCGCAAAUGUUUUGUGACAAUUUAGAAAACCAGAGGGGGGAAAUAUCCUUAGAGAAAAAAUCAUAACCAACAAGAAAAUUAUGUUAAAUGAUGUUGGUCCUUUUUCAUCGGAUGGUCCCAGUUGACACAUAGUCUUUUACAAAACCAGUGACUAUUCACAGUCUUCAAUUUAUGGCACAUCUCCCGGUGGGGGCGAAGUGCAUGAAUGGGUCCCACCUUAUUCACCAGCUGAAACUCUGAACAAGCCUUGGGGUUUCCUCUCCCAAAGACUGCCAGGCUUCACUAAGAAUCAAAACAAAACAGGAUACUAAAUGCCUGCGGUAAGUUUUCAAAUAUGAGCUCUUCCAUUGCUUAUUUCUGUGAAUUGUGGCAAAUUGCAUAAUGUCUUUUGCCCCUGGUGCUGCUUAGAGACAGGGUCUCACUGUGUUGCGCAGGCUAAAGUACAAUGGCACGAUCCUAGCUCGUUGCAGCCUCAAACCCCUGGGCUCAGACUAUCCUCUGGCCUCAGCCUCCCAACCAGCAAGGGUUACAGUCGCAUGCCACCACACCUGGUUAAUUUUUUAUUUUUGUUUUUUAGAGAUAGGGGACUCACUAUGUUGCCCAGGCUCGCCUGAAAUUCCUAGCCUCAAGCAUUCCUCCCAGCUCAGCCUCCCAAAGUGUUGAGAUUACAGGCGUGAGCCACCAUGCCUGGCAAGCUUCAUCAUUUCUAAAAUGUAACUGUAUAUUUUAGAGUAGCAUAGGAGUGGUGUAAGGGUUAAGGAUUAAUGAUACUGCAAAUCAAGUGCUUAACACAAAGUUUAAUGCAUAGGAAGAACAUAAUUGUUAUUAUCAAUGUGAGUAGACUGUUUACCACCAAAAUGAAAGGUGUGGGCAAUGGUAACUGGGUAGCCUCCAGAGAUCCUUUUUUAAAAGGAGUAUGAGUUUUAAUACAUUCGUUGAAUGAAUAAAACCCACAACACUCUAGGCACAUCUCCAGUCCUUGCCCUGGCAGGGCUUUCAGUCUAACUAGAGGAAAUUGGAUGAAAUGAUAAUGAUGCAUACCUAGUCUUUCGUCAUACUGUGAAAGCCUUUUAAAACAUGGAUUUGACUUCUGGGUUUCCCAUUAUAACCACUUCCCAAAGAAGAUUGUUCGUUCUUUCAGAAAAUUUCACUAGGGUGAUGAUAAGGUAUUAACAGAUGUAUGUUGAAAACAUCCUCUUCCUUUUUCUGUGUAGCCCCUUCUUCCUUUGGAAUUUUAGAAGAAUCUGAUCAAGGC